AACGAACGCUGGCGGCAGGCCUAACACAUGCAAGUCGAGCGAGAGCUUCGGGUCUAGCGGCGGACGGGUGAGUAACGCGUGGGAAUAUGCCCUUUGGUGCGGAAUAGCCUCGGGAAACUGGGAGUAAUACCGCAUGUGACCGUCGGGGGAAAGAUUUAUCGACAAAAGAUUAGCCCGCAGUGGAUUGGGUAGUUCGUGGGGUAAUGGCCUACCAAGCCUACGAUCCAUAGCAGGGUUGAGAGGAUGAUCAGCCACACUGGGACUGAGACACGGCCCAGACUCCUACGGGAGGCAGCAGUGGGGAAUCUUAGACAAUGGGGGAAACCCUGAUCUAGCCAUGCCGCGUGAGCGAUGAAGGCCUUAGGGUUGUAAAGCUCUUUCAGCUGGGAAGAUAAUGACGGUACCAGCAGAAGAAGCCCCGGCUAACUCCGUGCCAGCCGCCGCGGUAAUAC
rnacentral:rRNA from 1 species